rnacentral:rRNA from 1 species
UACAGAGGGUGCAAGCGUUAAUCGGAGUUACUGGGCGUAAAGGGCGCGUAGGCGGUUUGCUAAGUAAGAUGUGAAAUCCCUGGGCUUAACCUAGGAACAGCAUUUUAAACUGGUAGACUAGAGUACAGUAGAGGGUGGCGGAAUUUCCGGUGUAGCGGUGAAAUGCGUAGAGAUCGGAAGGAACAUCAGUGGCGAAGGCGGCCACCUGGACUGUAACUGACGCUGAGGCGCGAGAGCGUGGGGAGCAAACAGG